rnacentral:piRNA from 1 species
UCCGCCUCAGUUCACAGGUGUUGCUGUAAC